GACGAACGCUGGCGGCGUGCCUAAUACAUGCAAGUCGAACGCAGUGGGGACGGGUGAGUAACACGUGGGUAACCUCCCAUCAGAGGGGAUAACACUUGGAAACAGGUGCUAAACCGAUACUGAUGGAUGGACCCGCGGUGCAUUAGCUAGUUGGUGAGGUAACGGCUCACCAAGGCCACGAUGCAUAGCCGACCUGAGAGUGGGAGCGGCAAAACUGGGACUGAGACACGGCGACGGCGCCUGCGGGAGGCAGCAGUAGGGAAUCGUCGGCAAUGGACGAAAGUCUGACCGAGCAACGCAGCGUUAGUGAAGAAGGUUUUCGGAUCGUAAAACGCUGUUGUUAGAGAAGCGGGAGCUAACCAGAAAGCCACGGCUAACUACGUGCCAACAGCCGCGGUAAUUC
rnacentral:rRNA from 1 species